CUCGGGCUGGAGUGCAAUGGUGUGAUCACUGCUCACAGUAGCUUCAAACUCCCAGGAUCAGGAAUUUUUGAGAAUUAAAGGAAGUACAAUAUACAAAAGCACCCAGCAUCUAAUUAUCUAAAUGUUAGUCUGCUCCUUGGAAAAACUCCUCUAGUUUAUGGUUUAUUGAAAUUCUAAUUGUUAAGGUAAGACAAUUCUGCAGUAUAUCUGCAUGGUCAGGAUUCUAUGGGUUACAAGUGAUAGGAAAACUCAAGCACUUAAAAAAUAACACUAGCCCGAGAAAAACAGGAAAUUAUUGGCUUAUGUCCAGAAGGAACACAGUUGUAUAUAGGACUUCACACACUAUUAUUGGGGUUGUCUCUUUCCGUCUUCUGACUGUGUCUUACUUUAUGUUGUCUUCCUUCUCAUGUCCCUAGGAAAUGGCAAAGCUAGUUACCAGAUGUUCUAGCUUAUAUUCUACUACCCGAGUAAACUCUGUGCAAAUGCCGUAUCUCUUCUAACAGUUUCAGCAAAAGCCCCAGAUCUGGUAUCAAUUGGUUUGGCCUGGAUCAUAUUCAUAUCCUUGAUCCAAUGGUUGUGGGUCUGAUUGGCAGGUCUAGAAGGGGUCCUUGGUGAUCUCUGAAGGGGUCAGCCCUACUGGAAUUAUGUGAAAGGAAAAUGUCCCCAAAAGAAAAUGAUUUGGCAGGCAAAAUGACAUGUGUGCAUUUUGUGGUCCUUUUUAAGGAACAUUGCAGGCGGGAAAGACAGUAAAAAAAAAGAAAAAAAAAAAAAUCACAUCUAUUCUCAUUUGUUCUCCCCUAAGGGAAUAAAGAACUUCUGAAUCAACUGCUCCUGCCACAGGAGUUACACAACAACCAGCCUUGUGGAACAAGAGGAACUGCCACUGUCUUCUUUUUUCAUCUUACUACCUGGUCCAAUUCUACCUUGUUUUCCUGAAUUGUCACUGAGCUUUCUACACAAGUGAGGAUGGUGUUUGUAAAUCACAGAAAGACCAGUUUAUCUGUGGAGGAACCACAUAGAGAGUUAUUGUUAUUUUACACUACGUGAAGGCCAGAGGUAAGCAGGCCAGUACAGUAUCUUCAUGACUCCAUCAGGAACACAGGGGCUUCUGUCUGUUCCUUAGACACUCAUAGAAUAUGGAUUUUGUCCUCUUGCACUUUCCCUGAAGAUCUCAAGGUAUUUUCUCCACUUCCUUCCUUACCUCAGGAAGAGGUAGAAGGCAGAGGGCAGAAGUUGCAUGCCAGCUAACUGUCCUCAGAGAGAGGGGUGGGGGCGGCCUUGGCAGCCAGGAGCUGGCCUGGCACUAUCAAUGGGCCUUGUUGCUAGGAGCUGACCUGGCACUCAUGGCUAGGCCUUAGCAACUAAAGAGACAGUGCUAGAGAUACCAGAAUUAUAGUUAGGGUUUGAAGAAAAGGGGUGGAAAAAAACCUUUGACUAUUCACAAGUCGAACUAGAUUUGACUAACAGUGCACGGCCCAAGUGGACCUCUGUUAAUACAUUCAAAAAGUUACAUUAAUUCUCUGUCUAGAUUUAUGUAAAUAGUCUCAGAGAAGGCAAUCUGAGACAGCAAAUGGCAACUGUGAAAUACAGUUUUAUUUGCACACAGGAGAACCUAGUUUUGACAUUUUCUUAAACAACCAAGAUUUAUUCUUU